rnacentral:rRNA from 1 species
CCUACGGGAGGCAGCAGUGGGGAAUCUUGGACAAUGGGGGAAACCCUGAUCCAGCGAUGCCGCGUGAGUGAUGAAGGCCUUCGGGUUGUAAAACUCUUUCGACGGGGACGAUAAUGACGGUACCCGUAGAAGAAGCUCCGGCUAACCUCGUGCCAGCAGCCGCGGUAAU